UAUGGAAAUUCAGAAUAAAACUGUUUUUGUUUUCAGCUUCGGGAAGUGUCAUCACAAGUCCAUCUGCGACAAAAAUAUUAUCAAUCGACUCAGAAUUCUGAGAUCUAUCGAAUGAGGCAAACCAUUUUUUGAUUAAACGAUGCCGAAAACACCCUAGUGGGCAUACGUUUUGCGAAUAAGCGACAAAGAGAAUGGAAACAAGUGCGCGUGUGGUAGUGAGUAGCCUGAUGCGAUGCUUCUCAAUGUGGCGACUAAUACACGCGCACUUGUUUCCAUUCACUUUGUCGCUUAUUCGCAAAACGUAUGCCCACACUUACUACGGUGUCACAUUUAGAAGCUAAGUGUGGAGUCGCGCUUGGGUAUUUGCAUCUUUCUUCAUGCACUGAUGAGUCAUGUUUCGAUGAAAAUAAUGUAAUAUUUGAAUUAUAUUAAUGAAUGACCACGUCCCUACAGAUUUACUGUUGAUUAUGUCAUAACUUAAAACGACCAAUGCAAUCACGUGUAUGGGGUGAAAAUACAUUCGAGUUACAUUGCCAUAAUAAUUAAUCGUAAAAUCUCAAUAACUUUUUGAGUUAUCGUGUUCUCACACACCAACUACGACAACGACGGCAUACGAACGAAAAAUUGUCUCAAAAAUGUGUUUUCUUCGCAUUUCAUGCGUUUUUAUGAUGAUCUAAGAUCUAAUUUUGCGGAAAACGUUUUCGGGACCAAUUCCUAUACUUUUCCUUAACACGGUGUGUAGUUGUAUUGCCUCUCGUUUUGCUCUAAUGGAAAUCAAAGUAAUGCUGUAUUAUUUGCUGCUAAAUUUCUCGCUUGAGCCCAAUGAAAACACACAAAUCCCAUUGAAUCUGAAAGAGCCUUUAAGUUUGCAUUUGGAAAUGAAGCCAAGAAAAAUAUAAAAAUCUGAUUUGAUUUUUUGAUUGAUAGAUUAUGCUUCAUUCAAUAGCUCUAUCAAUUCAGCAUAGAGAAAACAUAUGCUUUUUUUUAAACUUUUAUUAUCGAGGUGUGAAUCAUUUUUAUCUAUUUUGGAAAGUUGAACAAUUCCAUUGCCAGUUAAAAACGCCAAAUUAUUCCGAAAUCCAUAUUACGCCUAAUAUGAUGAAUGACCUUGGAAAAAUGAAUAAAAAUAAUCCAUUUUGAA